rnacentral:rRNA from 1 species
GACGAACCGUGCGAACGUUAUUCGGAAUCACUGGGCUUAAAGGGCGCGUAGGCGGGUCCGCAAGUCAGGGGUGAAAUCCCACGGCCCAACCGUGGAAGUGCCUCUGAUACUGCGGGCCUCGAGGGGGGUAGGGGCGUGCGGAACUCAGGGUGGAGCGGUGAAAUGCGUAGAUAUCUGGAGGAAUACCGGUGGCGAAGGCGGCAUCCUGGACCGACAUUGACGCUGAUGAGCGAAAGCCAGGGGAGCAAACGGG